CACUGUAUAUGUAAAAUCAUCUUUGUUUAUAUUUCUUUCGUUUCAGAAUAACAUCAAGUACUAUGUCUACAACAACGACCGAGGAUCCUGAUUGUUGUUGUGAAAGAAGACCUCUAGGUGAUGUUAAAGUCAAAGUUGAAUAUAUUCCUUGCCCAUCUGCUAAUGCGGGCAAUAUUGAUGAUUAAUUUGGACAGACUGUUUCAAUGGUGGGGUUGGAGGACGAGUGGCUAUUUUUCAUAAUGUUAAUUUUCUAUAACUAAAAAAUAUCGGCAUAGUACUUAACAUUAUUUAUACUCAAUUAUUUUUGGCUUAACAAUUUGUUUUGUUUUUAAGAGACAUUUCUUUGCAUUUAAUGAAUCUAAUAAGUAAUGGUUGAAAUGAAUGUCACAUUUUUAUUUAGCUGUAAUUCCAAUUAUUGUUAAGUAGAGAAAUAAAAUUUGAAUACAAAUAUCGAUAAAACCACUGCAUGACACAAUUAAAUUUAUAAUUUAUGUGACUUCUUUCCUUGAUUGGCUAACUAACAAAGCUUUUAUAAAUAUGUAUUUAUAGUUUCAAAAACAAAUAUAAAAUAUUUAAAAGAUGUUUUUAAAAGAUUGAAUUAAAAUAACAGUACAAUUCAUAAAGCCUAUCUAAGAUGGCCAAUGUGUUGGUUGGCUUAAUUACAUCAUUUACAUAACAAUUACAAUUCGUAUACAUUUCAAAACUUUACCUUCUAAUUUCAAUAUAAUUUAUACUUACAUUGUUGAAACAGAAUGCAUUCAAAGAAUCAUAUUUAUUUAUGCAACGCUUUUAAACGUUUAGAAUUUGUUGAUGUUCGUAUAUUAAGAAUUGUUUUUCUUUAAAACAAUAUCAUCUCUGCAAAUCAUUUUUGAUAACAUUUUAAGACAGUAGUGAUCUAUAUUGCUUGAAAUAAACUGAUAAAUCUAAAUGAUUCAAAAGAUUUACUCAUUAUAUCUGUGUACUUCUUUGAAU